AGAGCGCUGCGGCCGCGGACGCCGCGGAGCAGGGGGGACGCUUUCAAAAAAUAAUUAAAAAUCAAGGAAAUAUCCCAGCAGAACCCUUUUGGCGUGAAAACCCCAAGAAGGAUCUCGACUCCUUGCAACGGAGGUUUCAGGGGCCGGGAAGGUCUGUAUCUUGGCCCCUGGGGCUUCGGAUCCCGGGGGAAGCCCGGAGGUUGAAGCCGCUCUGGAGUGUCCGGCCGCGGCCCACACGGGAGCAAGGGCGCGCGGGGUCGGCCAGGGGCGAGGCGGGAGCGAGGGUCCCCGGGAGCUCGUGGGGGCUCCCAUUUCCCAAUUGGGGUGCCCUGACUUUCCCCGUGCACACACCUCCUCCCCCCCUUCCUACCCCACCCAGAUCUGCGCACCGAGGAAGCUCGAAGGCCAAACUAUUCCAGAUGGGGUAAUGCACCAUGGUGGGAACAAAAGUGAUGUGGAGCCAUUCACUUUCUGACAAGUCAUGUAUCACGAUGUUGGACACAGGACAGACACUUGGGAGCGACCCACAGAAUCACUCUGCUGAGCUCUGGGCUUCCUGCUUCCCAACUGGGACCCAGGCAUCCUGGAGAAUCCACUCACCCUGGCUCAGCCUCUAGGGCCACCCGUGGGCAGUGGCAUACAAGAGUUUGGGUCAAUUUUCAAGAUGGAGAGCAAGUAUCUGGAAAUAGAAGCCAUCACCCCAGCUCAUAGCCACGUCCACCACAGCCACCACACGCCUCGGACAAGCACACAAGCUCAAGCUUCUGGUCUCUGCUCCAGCUGCCAGCAUCCCUGCCAGGAAUUAUCCUUUUCAAAGAGGGCUCUUUUCUUUAGUAAGUUUGGUGGAGAAGAUGCUGAUGAUUUGUGUUACACAAAUCAUUUCUUCCUGAAGAUGUGCCAUCUGCCUCAGGCAAAAUGCAGUGACAAGGUCAACCUGAUCCCAGCUCUGAACCAGUAAAAACUUAGAAACCUGUCCUGGAAGGAUACAUUCAGAAACGGAAGAUGAGAAAAUGUUCAUGACAUAAUAUUAAAUGAAAUAACCAAGGUAUACGUACUUUUUUAUUUGACAUUGUGUCUUGAUGCUUUUUCUGAGUCUGGACAAAUAGGUGCCUUAUGCUUUUCCUGUUCUUUCUUUUUCUUUAUUCAGAAUAAAAUCUCUCUGUAUUACCCA